rnacentral:rRNA from 1 species
UACGUAGGUGGCAAGCGUUGUCCGGAUUUAUUGGGUUUAAAGGGUGCGUAGGCGGCUUUGUAAGUCAGUGGUGAAAUAUGGCAGCUCAACUGUCAGGGUGCCAUUGAUACUGCAGAGCUUGAGUACAGAUGAGGUAGGCGGAAUUGACGGUGUAGCGGUGAAAUGCUUAGAUAUCGUCAAGAACACCGAUAGCGAAGGCAGCUUACUGGGCUGUAACUGACGCUGAGGCACGAAAGCGUGGGGAGCGAACAGG